rnacentral:rRNA from 1 species
GUGGGGAAUUUUGGACAAUGGGCGCAAGCCUGAUCCAGCAAUGCCGCGUGCAGGAAGAAGGCCUUCGGGUUGUAAACUGCUUUUGUACGGAACGAAACGGUCCUGGUUAAUACCUGGGGCUAAUGACGGUACCGUAAGAAUAAGCACCGGCUAACUACGUGCCAGCAGCCGCGGUAAUACGUAGGGUGCGAGCGUUAAUCGGAAUUACUGGGCGUAAAGCGUGCGCAGGCGGUGCUGUAAGACAGGCGUGAAAUCCCCGGGCUCAACCUGGGAAUUGCGCUUGUGACUGCAGUGCUGGAGUACAGCAGAGGGGGAUGGAAUUCCGCGUGUAGCAGUGAAAUGCGUAGAUAUGCGGAGGAACACCGAUGGCGAAGGCAGUCCCCUGGGCCUGUACUGACGCUCAUGCACGAAAGCGUGGGGAGCAAACAGGAUUAGAAACCCGAGUAGUCC